rnacentral:rRNA from 1 species
AGAGUUUGAUCAUGGCUCAGGAUAAACGCUGGCGGCGUGCCUAACACAUGCAAGUCGAACGUCCUACAUUUCGGUGUAGGGAGUGGCGGACGGGUGAGUAAGACAUGGGUACCUGCCUUCCAGUGAGGAAUACCGGCGAGAAAUCGCCGACAAGACCGCAUACGCUUCCCUUCGGGGAAGCAAAGCUCGCAAGGGCGCUG